ACUGAGAGGGGGGAGCAUGGGGCCCGACCUGCCCUGGGUCUGGCGAUGGGAAGGGGGCACAUUGCCCCAUCAUGUCCCUGUCCUUUCCCUGAGUGUCAGCAGGCGUCACCCUGUCCCCUUCUCUCCCUGGUGCAGAGACCCCCAGGAACUCAGAGGACGAGGAGGAGGAAUGGGUGGAUGUAGCCACAGAGGAGGCUGCUCUCAAUAACCUCCGAGAGCAGCUCCAGGGCCGAGAAAAGGAUGAGGCCCAGCAGCUCGUGUUCCUGCACGCCAUGCACCCCGCGUGUCUCUCUGCAUAGCAGAGAGGGCAGGACACAUGGGAGCCGCACUGCUGCAAGAUGGCUGAGGUGGAGAGGAUUGUGGCAGAACUUGAGGGGCUGAGAACUGGCUGGAACCGGUUGGGGGCAGGGCCUGUCAGCGGGCGCCUCAGAAAGGCGCGUCACAGAGAGCGGAGACGGGACGGUCAGCGGUGACGCAGGGGCUGUCCCCCAUCGAGGCAGCCACGCCCAGCGUCUUUGCGCGGCAUCGGAUCAAGACUGUCCCUACUAACAUCUGUCAAGGACUCUGAUACUUACCUGACUCCUGUAAUCCACCAAAGGAGCCAGUGAAGGCUUUGCCGUCAGCUCAGAUCUGUGAUCUGCUUUGGCAGUAAGAGAGCCAGACCCUCCGAUGUUCCAGGGAUCCUAAGACGAACCAUCCGUCGCCGGUGUCCUCCAUCUGCAGAUCUGCAUAGGGUCUUGCCAGACCUCCUGGACGACAUGCUGGGGAACCUGCUGGCAGAGUCCCCAGACACCGGCCGGCUCCACUACAUCUUGGAGCACAUUAACUACCGGAUCGUGUCCAGGGUGUCGCAAGAGAGAGCCAGGGCUGUUAGGAGCAGCACGGCCCUGCUCAGAUCCACCAUCACCCUCCCUGAGUUUGAUCACCCCCUGCCAUUGUGUUGGGCCAGGCAUGCAGCGAGGACUCUGCCCACUGUGCAUCCACCAAUGGGAUUGGAAGGACACAAGCACUGCAACCAGAAUGAC